UACGUAGGGAGCAAGCGUUGUCCGGAAUCAUUGGGCGUAAAGCGCGCGUAGGUGGCCACAUAAGUCCGUUGUGAAAGUCAAAGGCUCAACCUUUGAAAGCCGAUGGAUACUGUGUGGCUAGGGUACGGAAGAGGCGAGUGGAAUUCCUGGUGUAGCGGUGAAAUGCGCAGAUAUCAGGAAGAACACCCGUGGCGAAAGCGGCUCUCUGGAACGGUACUGACGCUGAGACGCGAAAGCGUGGGGAGCGAACAGG
rnacentral:rRNA from 1 species